rnacentral:rRNA from 1 species
AUGCAUCUCGAUGUAGAUCUUCUUGUACUUGGUCUUGUUGGGCGCGAUGCCGUUCUCCUCCAUGCACGCCACGAUCUCCAGCGCCUUCUUGAAGAAGGCGCCGCGCACGCACACGUCCGCCAGCGCGUCCAGGAGCUCCUCGUCCGGCUUCAGCGCCGGCUUGCCGUUGCCGGCCUCGCACCGCUCCUUCACCUCGUUCCACAGCAGCAGCGCCUCCCCCGGCUUCCGGGCGACGGCGAUCCCCUUGGCCAGGCUGCCGUACGUCGCCACGUCCGGCUGCACGCCGCUCUCUUUCAUCCUCUCCACCGUCUGCUUCGCCGUCUCCAGCAUCCCCUGCUGGCAGUACCCUUCCACCAGCAUGUUCCACGCCGGCCUGUCCACCGUCACCCUCGGGUCCUUCUCCAUCUCCUCGAACACCUUGUGCGCCACCUUGGGCUGCCCCGACGCCGCGAACGCCUUCAUCAGCGUCGUGUAGCUCACCGUCGACGGCGCGACCCCGCGCGUCCGCAUCUCGUUGAACAGGGCCAGCGCGCCGGCGCUGUCGUCCAUCAGGACGCACCCGUCGAUGAGGGUGUUGUACGUCACCACGUCCGCCUCGAUGCCGGCGUCCGUCGUCAUCUCCUCCAAGAGCUCCCUCGCCCUGCUCAUCUGCAGCUGCUGGCAGUACCCCUUGAUGAGCACGUUGUACGUCACCCGGCUCGCCGGGACCCCCGCUCUCGCCAUCUCGUCGAGCACGGCGUGCGCGCGCUCCAUGUCGCCGGCCGCCGCGAGGGUCGAUACCACCGUCGUGUACGUGACGUGGUCUGGCCGGCUCGCCGGCAUCGUCUCCCCCUCCCGCCGCAUGGCGCGCGCCAUGGCCACCACGUCGUCCACGCGCCCGGCGUUCAUGUACCCCUUCAUCAGCGUGGUGUACACCCUCGAGUUGGGUGGGUACGUCCUCGACAGCAACGGCGCCUCGGUGCCUUCCUCCGGCUUUGGCCCGACGAUGUCCUCGAGCACGUCGCUGUGCUCGUCGACGACGAUAGCAAUGCCCUUCUCGUCGUUUCCUUCCACUGCGACAUGCCUGAGCAGGAGGCAGACGUCGCUGCGGCCUUCCCGCAUGGCCUGCACGAUCCUCUCCGCCGUGGGGAUGUCGCCGAAGCCGACGUAGGCGGCGACGAGGGAGUGGAAGGUGGUGGCGCAGGGGGCGAGGCCGGAGGAGAGUAUCCGCUCGAGCACGCGCGCGACGAGGUCCCGGCGUCCGGCGCGCGCGCACAUCUUGAUGGCGACGUUGUAGGUGAGGGCGUCAGGGGCCGCGCCAGGCCAGCUGCGCAUCUCGUCGAACAGCUGGCGGAAGCGGCGGCAGUCGCCGGCGUCGGCGCAGGCGCUGAGCGCGGCGUUGAACGCGGCCGUGUCGGGGAGCGCGAAGGACGCCGAGCUGGAGUCCGGAGCGCGGCGGAGGUGGUGGAGAACGGCGUCGAAGAGGCGGAGCGCGUGGGCGGGGCGGAGACGGGAGAUGGCGGCGGUGUAGGCGCGGCGGUCGGGGAGGAGGCCACGGCGGAGCAUGGAGAGGAGGAGGGAGUAGGCGAGGUGGGCGCUGCCGGAGCGGGCCGCGGCGGAGGCGGCGAGGGAGAGGGAGUUGGCGUCGAGGAGUUUGAGGCCGCCCUGGGCGCGGAGGCGGUGCAGCAGGCCCGCGGCGCGGGAGAAGGUGUGGGAGGACGUGGACCUGUAGGAGAGCUGCGCGAGGAGGCGGGAGGCCGCGGUGGGGGACUCGGGGAGGGAGGGGGAGGCGGCGAAGAGGCGGUAGGCGGCGUCCGUUUCUCCGGCGCGGAGGAGAGCAAGGAGGGCGUCAUCGUCUUCGUGGGUAGUAGAGAGUGGUGGGGCGGGAGAAAUGGCCGAGUGGAGGGUGUGGUGGUUGCGCCAGGAAGUGGAGGAGGUGGCGGUGGCCGGCGAGAAUGGCGGUGGCGCGGGGAAGGGGGCAGCCGGAGGGCGGGGCUGGGGCUGGAGGCGGGGCUUGCCGUGCCCGUGCAGCAUGAUGGAUGCUCCGCUCCGCUCUGCACAGGGGUGGGGAGGAGAAGAGGAGAGGGAGGGGAUGACGCUGACGUGUUAAACUGUGAGUGUCUCAGACUCGAAUGCAAAAUCCUUUCUUCUUUUGUUUCUGCAGGUGGAGCCUCUCCCAAAUCGUGGCCGAAGCUGUACCAUGCUAGCUAA